AUUCACAGCCAUAUCACCCUGCAGCCUAAGAGCGGCUACUCACUGAAGCAAAGCAGGGCUGAGGCUGGUCAGUACCUGGAUGGGAGACCACAUGGGAAAGCUAGGUUGCUGUUGGAA
rnacentral:rRNA from 1 species